CCGAUCCUUCCACCUCUCCUUCCUUUCCUGACCCCCUCUUUCUUGAUCUCCUCUUCCUCGACCUCACGCCCGAAACCCUUCUUCCCUCUCCCGCGAUUCCUCCUCGCUCGAUCGCCGGCCACCGUGAGUUCACCGCCGGCAGCGACCUUUCCAAUGCGUAGCUCUCUUGGCUACCAAUUUCGGCCUCACCGCGUCGCCUGAGGAUUGUCGCCCGAAUCUUGAAGGUGCUGGAGCUGUCCAAGCCUUCCCUGGUGGAGUGAUCGCCUUCUCGGCCAUUUUUGCGCUCGAUUUGGUGGGAUCUGAUCUAGGGCACAGCGAGCUCCACACUUGCUGGAUCAGAUCAGAACAACACCAUUGGAGGCAAUCGAUCAAGAGGAGGCGUUAAUCAAUAUGGUGUUUGUGCUGAUCAUUGUCUUAUUUCCAAUUCUUGAAGCUGUGGGAGUCUCGACUGGGGAAUUUGAGAUCGAUUGAGAAGUGGCGUAGGGAGGUGGGUAGCUAUCAGCAGGAUUCUUGUGAAGGUUGUUGAGCUCCUGGAUUUGUUGCCUCCCUGAAGGUAGCUUGUAGAUGGUUGGUGUUGCUCGGAGUAUCCUGUCUGUCGGGUCC